CUCAUUCUGAUGCCUGGACCAACAGUCAGUUUGGACCUGGAGCCAGGACUCACAUUGCUGUUUUGUCCUCUACUGGAACAUCCACUGACAGUGUGAGAUGGUCCAGCCUCUGCUCAUUGGCCCCGGAAGAGAAUCCAAGCUUCGUAGCAUCUGGACACAACAGAUCAGAGAGUGUAAGACAGAAAACAUCACGGCUCUUCAAGAAAGAUGCAGUGUGCAGUGGUGUCUGUAAGAGGAAGAAACAAAACAACCUAGAGAUGGGUCCCUAGGGGAGAUGGAUGGAGGCAUUGUGUCAAAACCAUUCCACGAAAUGCUUCCCAGGAGUUAAAUGAACCAGAGCUGCAAGCAUAGACAUGAAUAAAUCUCAUAAACUGAAGAAAAAAGGUCAGUGGCAGAAAGAUACGUGGAUGUCAUGUGCUGCCCUGUGUAUAAAGUUUUUAAACCUGCAAAAGAAUAUUUUCCCAAAUAAGUGUGUGGAUGCACAAAUAUGCAACAAAAGAAUAAAAAGGUGUCUCAGAAUAUUAACUGUACAAGAGUGGUUCCCUGGGGGAAGGAGGGAGGGAGGAACAUGACAUCUGCGAAGGGACCCCACAACCCAGUCAAGAAGGUUUUAUUUCUCUAAAUAAAU
rnacentral:lncRNA from 1 species